GAAAAGAACCCCGGCGAGGGGAGUGAAAAAGAACCUGAAACCGUGUACGUACAAGCAGUGGGAGCACCCUUCGGGGUGUGACUGCGUACCUUUUGUAUAAUGGGUCAGCGACUUAUAUUCUGUAGCAAGGUUAACCGUAUAGGGGAGCCGGAGGGAAACCGAGUCUUAACCGGGCGUUAAGUUGCAGGGUAUAGACCCGAAACCCGGUGAUCUAGCCAUGGGCAGGUUGAAGGUUGGGUAACACUAACUGGAGGACCGAACCGACUAAUGUUGAAAAAUUAGCGGAUGACCUGUGGCUGGGGGUGAAAGGCCAAUCAAACCGGGAGAUAGCUGGUUCUCCCCGAAAGCUAUUUAGGUAGCGCCUCGUGAAUUCAUCUCCGGGGGUAGAGCACUGUUUCGGCUAGGGGGCCAUCCCGGCUUACCAACCCGAUGCAAACUGCGAAUACCGGAGAAUGUUAUCACGGGAGACACACGGCGGGUGCUAACGUCCGUCGUGAAGAGGGAAACAACCCAGACCGCCAGCUAAGGUCCCAAAGUCAUGGUUAAGUGGGAAACGAUGUGGGAAGGCCCAGACAGCCAGGAUGUUGGCUUAGAAGCAGCCAUCAUUUAAAGAAAGCGUAAUAGCUCACUGGUCGAGUCGGCCUGCGCGGAAGAUGUAACGGGGCUAAACCAUGCACCGAAGCUGCGGCAGCGAACGUAUCACCCAAGACAACUUUACGGAGUUGACGAUUGACGGAGCGAAGCGACGUCAAAGCGUUCAUUAAAGUCGAGUUGGCUUAGGGAUACGUUCGUUGGGUAGGGGAGCGUUCUGUAAGCCUGUGAAGGUGUGUCGUGAGGCAUGCUGGAGGUAUCAGAAGUGCGAAUGCUGACAUAAGUAACGAUAAAGCGGGUGAAAAGCCCGCUCGCCGGAAGACCAAGGGUUCCUGUCCAACGUUAAUCGGGGCAGGGUGAGUCGACCCCUAAGGCGAGGCCGAAAGGCGUAGUCGAUGGGAAACGGGUUAAUAUUCCCGUACUUGGUGUUACUGCGAAGGGGGGACGGAGAAGGCUAUGUUGGCCGGGCGACGGUUGUCCCGGUUUAAGCGUGUAGGUGUGUGUUCCAGGUAAAUCCGGUU
rnacentral:rRNA from 1 species